UGUAUGACACUAGAUAUGUCAAAUACAUUGUCAACUGUAUGACAUUGACGAUGUAUUUGACAUAUCUAGUGUCAUACA
rnacentral:pre_miRNA from 1 species